rnacentral:rRNA from 1 species
UAUUAUACUAAUGAAUAUUAUAAAAAUCUUAAUUAUUAAUAGAUAUAUUCUUUAAAUUUAAAGAAUUUGGCGGUAAUUUAGUCUUGUUAGAGGAACCUGUUUUUGAAUCGAUACUCCACGUAAAAUCUUACUCACUUUAUUUAAAAGUUUAUAUACCAUCAUUAGCGGAUAAUUUUUAAAAAACUAAUUAUUAAAUCUUAAAUAAGUUAAUCUAAAUUAGAUCAAGGUGUAGCUUAUAGGUGAGUUAAAAUGGGUUACAAUAAAAUUUAUUUAAACGGAAUAAGUGUAAGAAAUUUGACCUUAUGGAAGGAGGAUUUAAUUGUAAUGUUAGUUUAAUAAGCUAAAAAGAUAUAAGCUCUAAAUUAU